rnacentral:rRNA from 1 species
CUCUGAUGUUAGCGGCGGACGGGUGAGUAACACGUGGAUAACCUACCUAUAAGACUGGGAUAACUUCGGGAAACGGAGCUAAUACCGGAUAAUAUUUUGAACCGCAUGGUUCAAAAGUAAAAGGCGGGUCUUGCUGUCACUUAUAGAUGGAUCCGCGCUGCAUUAGCUAGUUGGUAAGGUAACGGCUUACCAAGGCAACGAUGCAUAGCCGACCUGAGAGGGUGAUCGGCCACACUGGAACUGAGACACGGUCCAGACUCCUACGGGAGGCAGCAGUAGGGAAUCUUCCGCAAUGGGCGAAAGCCUGACGGAGCAACGCCGCGUGAGUGAUGAAGGUCUUCGGAUCGUAAAACUCUGUUAUUAGGGAAGAACAUAUGUGUAAGUAACUGUGCACGUCUUGACGGUACCUAAUCAGAAAGCCACGGCUAACUACGUGCCAGCAGCCGCGGUAAUACGUAGGUGGCAAGCGUUAUCCGGAAUUAUUGGGCGUAAAGCGCGCGUAGGCGGUUUUUUAAGUCUGAUGUGAAAGCCCACGGCUCAACCGUGGAGGGUCAUUGGAAACUGGAAAACUUGAGUGCAGAAGAGGAAAGUGGAAUUCCAUGUGUAGCGGUGAAAUGCGCAGAGAUAUGGAGGAACACCAGUGGCGAAGGCGACUUUCUGGUCUGUAACUGACGCUGAUGUGCGAAAGCGUGGGGAUCAAACAGGAUUAGAUACCCUGGUAGUCCACGCCGUAAACGAUG